rnacentral:rRNA from 1 species
UACGUAGGAGGCAAGCGUUGUUCGGAAUUACUGGGCGUAAAGGGUGCGUAGGCGGCUCUCUAAGUCGGAUGUGAAAGCUCUGGGCUCAACCCAGAGACUGCAUCCGAAACUGGAGGGCUAGGGUUCUGGAGGGGAAAGCGGAAUUCCUGGUGUAGCGGUGAAAUGCGUAGAUAUCAGGAGGAACACCGGUGGCGAAGGCGGCUUUCUGGACAGACACCGACGCUGAGGCACGAAAGCUAGGGGAGCAAACAGG